rnacentral:rRNA from 1 species
AGAUUGAACGCUAGCGGGAUGCUUUACACAUGCAAGUCGAACGGCAGCGCGGACUUCGGUCUGGCGGCGAGUGGCGAACGGGUGAGUAAUAUAUCGGAACGUGCCCAGUAGCGGGGGGAUAACUACGCGAAAGCGUGGCUAAUACCGCAUACGCCCUACGGGGGAAAGGGGGGGAUCGCAAGACCUCUCACUAUUGGAGCGGCCGAUAUCAGAUUAGCUAGUUGGUGGGGUAAAGGCCCACCAAGGCGACGAUCUGUAGCUGGUUUGAGAGGACGACCAGCCACACUGGGACUGAGACACGGCCCAGACUCCUACGGGAGGCAGCAGUGGGGAAUUUGGACAAUGGGGGAAACCUGAUCCAGCCAUCCCGCGUGUGCGAUGAAGGCCUUCGGGUUGUAAGCACUUUUGGCAGGAAGAACGGACGCAUUCUAAUACGAUGCGUCACUGACGUACUGCAGAAUAAGCACCGCUAACUACGUGCCAGCAGCCGCGUAAUCGUA